CCCUUAGAUGUCCUGGGCUGCACGCGUGCUACAAUGAUACGUGCAACGAGUUAAUCCUGUUCUGAAAGGAGUGAGUAAUCUUAUGAAUGCGUAUCGUGCUUGGGAUUGACCAUUGUAAUUAUUGGUCAUGAACGAGGAAUUCCUAGUAAGCACAAGUCAUCAGCUUGUGCUGAUUACGUCCCUGCCCUUUGUACACACCGCCCGUCGCUCCUACCGAUUGAGUGUUCCGGUGAAUUAUUCGGACUGCAACAGUUAUCUGUCGCGGAAAGUCUUGUGAACCUUAACACUUAGAGGAAGGAAAAGUCGUAACA
rnacentral:rRNA from 1 species